UGCAAAUUGACUUUUCUCAAAUAAAAAGUAAAGCAUUAAAUUUCUUGAUUUCUUAUGAAAGAAACUAAACCCAGACUUUGAAAAAAAUAAUAAAUGAUGAAGGUAUGCAAAUGAGACAAGAAAAAUGUAAUUAAAGAGAAAACGGUUACCAUCAACGGAGACAAUUUACCACCCACAGAGCCAGGAUUUUGUUAGAGAGCAGACGGCGGCAGCGGAAAAGAGGAAAGGAGCAGACGGCGAAAGCGGAGAGGAGAGAAGCAGCGGUUCGGCGUAGAGAAGAGGAGAGGAUCAGCGGAGAGAAGAGGAACAGCACGGCAAGCGGCGGAAGCGGCAUGGGCAACGAACGGCAGCGGCGGAAGCGGCAGGGGCAACGAACGGCAGCGUUCAUUAAUAAUACCUGUUUCCUUAAUUAAAACUAACUUAGAAGAAUAUAAAUUUGUUCCAUAUUUUUUUUAGAAGAAUAUAAAUUUUUAAGAGCCUAUUUUAUUUUCUCGAUCAAUAUCCCAAAAAAAAAAAUAUAUAAAUUUCAUCCAAAAUUCAUAACACAGGCAAAUUCAAGAAUUGAUGGGUGGGUAAAGAAAGCAUAAUUUCAUAAUUUCAUAGUGUUGGCCGCAAGAAAAUGAUGGAAAUUUUACAGGAUGAACUGAUAGCCGAAAUUCUGAAAAGGGUACCGAACCAGGACCUCUUGCAAUGCACUGAAGUCUGCAAAUCUUGGUAUUAUCUUCUCAAAUCCUCUUUUUUCAUUUUCCAAACCCAUCUUCCCCAUGUUCAAGCUUCAAACUCGAACCCGCAUUUAGUCAUUUUGUGCCACGUUUGGCCUGAAAACGGUUAUGGGAUGUCAUUUCAUGAUGAUAAUACUGAAGAGUUCAUUGAGUGCGAGUUACCUGCUCACUUCUAUUCCAUGUCCAAAUCAAGUCUCUAUUCCUCUUGCAAUGGCCUUCUUUUAUUUCUUCGGGAUUCUGAUUAUAUCCUUCGGAAUCCAUCCAUUUCCCGAUCACUAACUCUUCCGAAACCAAAACUUAAUCAUGGGGAAGAAUUCUGUGGUCUAGGUUUUGAUUCUACCACUAAUGAUUUCAAAGUGUUAAGGUUGUUGUGUGGAUGUGAAAAACCUAGACCCGUUGUUCAGGCUGAGGUUUACUCUGUUAAUGCAGGUUCUUGGAAGAAUAUUUCUCAUAUCACACCAAAGUACGAAAUCCCAUAUCAUAUUCUUUUUAAACCUCAGUGUAUACCCUUUGUUAAUGGUGCAUUGCAUUUGAUUGCUUAUGAUGGUCGCGGUGAUAAGGGCAUCAGUUUGGUGCUUGUCUUUGAUGUUAAACAUGAAAUCUUUCGCGAAAUAUUAUUGCCCCGCUGUUUGCAAAAGGCUCCGUCUGAUAUGUUGUUUGUUAUCGCAUAUGGGCAAUCAAUUGCAGUUGUGCAUAUAUAUGAUACCGCUAUUAGGAAUGAUGUAUGGGUGAUGAAAGAGUAUGGCGUGUACGAUUCAUGGACCAACUUAGGCAAGUUGCAGAAUGAAACAGACAAAUCAUCAGUUGCAAUGUUCUUGAGGAAGAAUGGGCAACUCAUGAUAGAUUCUGGUUUUGGGGAAAUAUUUUCAUUUGAUUUUGCUACUCAAACCUUCGUCGAUCUCUUCCCGGAUUUGGAGGAAAUGAGGGAUAAUUGUCCUGCUACUGUUUUUAGCUAUAUUGAGACCCUAGCCUUACUUGAUAGAGGAAACUUUAAAGAUAAAUCAAGCCGGUCGCAGAAUUUAGGAGACCCAGCUAAUUAAUUUGGUUUAGAUGAUGUGCUCAGAAAGAAGCUGUAGUAGUGGGGGAAGGUAAUUUGUUCAACUUCUGUACUUUAUAGUCUCUCAUGGAGUGAUUGAUACAACUAACGCCUUUUCUUUCUCGAAUGCAAGCAAAGGGGAUUUGAAUUGAAUUUUCGAGUAUUUUCAGCUGUUGUUUUAGCUCUCUUUUUUCAUAUGCAUAUGUCAUUUGAAGUCGACUCUAUGUCAUUUGGCUAUUACGUUGCUAAUCACAAUACAACUGACGUGUGGUUUGUUAUGAAUCAAGAUGCAGAAUUUAGGUACCACCACAGUAUUGGUUUUGCUGUUUAUGUUACCAUUCACUAAGAUAUAUCAUUUAUUCUCUAUCUUGAUGUCUGCUUUGAUGUUUAAUAACAGAUAAUGGAAGUUUUACUUUAACAUAUCAUUUGUGUUGCUAAAUUUCUGUUGAUGGUGUAAUCAGUAAAUGCAAUGUUCUAGCUAGUAUUUAAAAAUCGGAUUAGAAGCUAAAAAGAAAAGAGGCCUUCUUAUUAUACAAUCCGACCAGCUAGUCCAACAUGUCGAACCGUGAAUUAGUGGCCUAUUAGGUUCAGCCACCGGUUCAGCGUUUAGAACAUUAGUUCUAUAAUUGACAACAAUGGAAAUCACAAAUGUUGGAUUUAGAUGCUAUAUAUAUAUGUAAUAAAAACAUGAGUCGGAAUUGUUCUUGCAACUUGCAAGACUUCUUCUGCAAGCAAAAUGAGUGGAAAAGUAGUAUCAUUAUGUUUAACUGUCUAAGUAUCUGUAUAAAAAAACGAAUUCUGAUAUUAGAUGGUUACAAAGAUGGUUGAUAUUAGAGAUUGCAGAUCAUGAUAUCUGAAAAUGUGCUAAAGCUAUAUUUUGAUUAUGAACAUGCAAUAAGAUUUUGUCUAUUAAUGUUGCUAAUGCUGAAUUGAUGAAACUUUUGGUGUUUAUAUGUGCUUAGAGACCACUAAAGUAAAUUGAUUCACUCUGUGCACUUGGUAUAGCUUUUUGUUUGAGUUUCAAGUUUUAACCCACCGAUUAGACAAUUGAAUUGGUUGAACCACAAAUAGGAAAUUACCAACUGAGAAAUUUGUCUAUAUAUACCAAAUUAAUUAUCUUUUGUUGUGUUUAUCUUGAUCCAAUUCAACCCAGGACCAAGUCAGCUUUUUUUUUUUUAUUAUAUUAUCAGAAAUUAUGGAGUUCUGAAAUGCCACCCAUCUUUAUUUUGACUUUACAAAUAAUGUACUAUAUUUAUUUACAAAAUAUCUGAACCAGUCUUCUGAAAUGAAAUUUCGUUGAAUUUCCCACACAAAAUUGAUAAAUAUUUGAAAAUUGUAGGGUUUGUAAUUGGAAAUUAGUAAUCUGUAUCCCUUAUCUCAAUAAAUAAUAGCUGAGUAGAAGCUAUUUUCGCCUUCGUCGACGCUGCUGAGCUGGAAGCCGUGGAGGCUUUGGUUCUUUCGCCGCCUUCUUGGUGACUUUCAUUGAUUUUGUUCCGCCUUGGCUGACUUGCCGGAGUGGGUUUCAGCCAUUUGAAUUAACUCAGAGGGUUGAAUCAAUAAAAACUUCUUCCUGAUAUCAGCCAAAGAAAAUGAUUGAAAUUCUACCUGACGAAUUGAAAGCAGAAAUUCUGAAAAGGGUACCAAAUAAAGAGCUCUUGCGAUGCACUGUAGUCUGCAAAUCAUGGUAUUCUCUUAUUAAAUCCCCUUCUUUUAUAUUUAAUACCCAUCUUCCCCAUAUUCAAGCUUCAGAUUCGAAACCGAAUUUAGUCAUUAUGUGCCACUAUUUUGACCCUAACAAUUAUGUGAUAUCAUUCCAUGAUGAUGAUACUGAAGAGUUGAGUGAGUGUCAUUUGCCUCCUCAUUUCUAUUCCAUGUUCAACUUAAGGCCCUAUGCCUCUUGCAAUGGUCUUCUUUUAUUUCGUGAGUCCUCCGAGUAUCUCCUAUGGAAUCCAUCGAUUUGCAGAUCACUAAGCCUUCCAAAACCAAAGCUAAAUAGACCCAAGGGGUGUGAAUUAUCUAGUUUAGGUUUUGAUUCUACCACUAAUGAUUUCAAAGUACUAAGGGUGUUGUCUGAUUUUGAUUUUGAAAAGUCUAGGCCCAUUGUUGAGGCUGAGAUUUACUCUCUUAAUGCAGCUUCUUGGAAGAAUCUUUCUCAUAUUACACCACAGUAUUAUAUCAUACCUCAAGUUUUUCUUAAACGCCAGUGUAUGCCGUUUGUGAAUGGUGCAUUCCAUAUGAUUGCAUUUGAUUCCAGUAGUGAUGAUAAGGGACAGAAUUUGGUGCUUGUCUUUAAUGUGAAAGAUGAAAGCUUUCGCGAGAUAUUAUUGCCCCAGUGUUUGCAGAACACUCGCCUUGAUAUGUUGUUUGUUAUCGCAUAUGGGCAAUCUAUUGCAGUUGUUCAUAUUUAUGAAACCGCUAUGAAGAAUGAUAUAUGGGUGAUGAAAGAGUAUGGCGUGUACAAUUCAUGGACCAACUUAGGCAAGUUGCAAAAUGAAGAGAAUGCAUCAGUUGCAAUGUUCUUGAGGAAGAAUGGGCAAUUCAUGAUAGAUUCUGGUUUGGGGAAAUUUUUUUCAUUUGAUUUUGCUACCCAAAGUUUCAUAGAUCUCUUCCCGGAUUUGGAGGAUAUUGAGUAUACGGGGGAUUUUUGGUCUGCUUCUGUUUUUACCUAUAUGGAGACUCUGGCCUUACUUGAUAUAGUAUAGGAAACGUUGAAGAUGAAUUAGGCGACUCGCAUAAUUUAGGAGAUUCAACUAAUGAACUUGGUUUAGAUGAUGCACUGAGAAAGAAGCUGUAAUAGUGGAUGAAGAAGGUGGAGGCGGAGAUGCGUCUCUCCUACUGCCGUGUCCAAUCCCCUCGGAACUGCCGUCUUUGCUACUGUUGUGUCCACCUCCCACGUCUACAAACACCACCAUCUAUUAACAGAUCUGACGACCCGCAACAACAUGUAUUUCUUUAGAUCCGGUGACGACCGCUUCAAGAAUUAACAAAGGUAGUCGGAGUAGAAUGAAGAUAGUCGGAGUUGAACAAAGAAGGCAAUCGGAGCGGUACGAAGGUAGGCGAACGAUGAACGAAGGGAGGGGAAUGGCCAUCGGCGGCGAACGAUGAACUUGUUGUGAUGAUUUUUUGUUUUUCCACUUAUUUAUCUGUAAUGAUUUUGUGUUAGUUAACCAAUGGUUUACUAAUAGUGUAAGUAAAUCUUGGAUAGACAAUUAAUUAACUUGUAAUAAAUUUUAUUUUAAAUAUAUCGUUAUUAAAUCGUUAGUAAAGUGUAACUAAAAA